AUGUGGCUUUGUGCCUCCAAAUUUCUCCUCUUUCUGCACCUCCAACCUUUCUCUUCUUUCUGUAACUCCAAACUUUCUCCUCUUUCUGUAACCCCAAAUUUCUCCUCUUUUUGUACCUCCAAAUUUAUUCUCUUUCUGUACCUCCAAAUUUAUCCUGUUUCUGUACCUCCAACCUUGUUUUUCUUUUUGCACCUCCAAACUUUCUCCUCUUUUUGUACCUCCAAAUUUAUCCUCUUUCUGCACCCCCAAACUUUCUCUUCUUUCUGCACCUCCAAACUUUCUCCUCUUUCUGCACCCCAAACUUCCUCCUCUUUUUGUACCUCCAAAUUUCUCCUCUUUUUGCACCUCCAACCUUUUUUCUCUUUUUGCACCUCCAAACUUUCUCUUCUUUUUACACCUCCAAACUUUCUCCUCCUUUUGUACCUCCAAAUUUCUCCUCUUUCUGCACCUCCAAACUUCCUCUUUUCAUACCCUACUCCCCAAGGCUCACCCUGCACCACAUCUAUAGCUUUGGAGACAAGACUUAGGGGCUGUUUUACCGAGGAGUUCAGCUCUUUUUUUGUCCCUUUUGUACAUUUUUACUGGUGCUGUGUCAGAUGUUUCCAGGUUUGUGCACCGAGGUGAUGCUCCUCUGGUGGUGGGUGAUGCUAAACUGCCUGAGCCCAGCUGGGAUUUGGCUGCUGAGCCUGUUCUACCCAAUCCUUUUGGGGAAAAAAAAAAAAAAAAAACCAACACAAUUUCCCCAGGCCUGAACUUUCCCAGCAUAUCCUGUUUCCAUUUCAACCCGUUAGAGCCAGAGGCAGGAUUUUUUUCUGGGGAGGCUGAGGGCAAUUAGGAAAUUAUCCUUCUCCCCCCCUCCCCUGCCCUGAAAUCCAGCAGGAUGAAGCCAAAUAUUUGCUUUCAGCUGGGUGGAUUUUGGAGCUGGCUCCACAUGAGAGCACUGGGGUGGAGGCUUGAAUUUUGGCCGUUUUGGGUGAUUGUUUUUGAAGCAGGACCUCCAAGCUGGCUGCUUGGAGAUUGCAAAGCCAUGCCCUGUCCCAGCUGGCAUCUGCCCUGUUGUUGAUGGAAAACAGCCUGCCCGUGGGUUUUUGGGGUGGGAUGCACCCUCUCCAUCUCUGUACCCACUCAAUAGAAGGCUGCAGCACUGUUGGUAGCUUUGUAAUCCCAUUUUUUUUUUUUUUCCUGCUGUGCUGCAGGCUCUGAGCAGUGUGUGUGGCUCUGAAAUUGGUCUUGGGAGGUGCCCAGGCCUGCUGGGCACCCUGGGCAGAGCAGCAGAGCCAGUGGUCCAAAAGCAGCUCCUCAAUUCAAUGCUGAAAUCAGAUCCUGAAGCUUAAAUUUUUUAUUUUUUUUUUCUUUUACAUCUGCUCCUUGUAAAUGAUUUAUAACCCCUCAAAAUUUUGUAUCUGGAAGUAAAGUGGAUGUGUCUCUUAAAAGUAUGCCUGUCCUUUCAAAAUGUGAAUUUCUGAUUGUUGGAAUAAAAAAAAAAAAACCCCCCCCCCCCCCCCCCCCCCCCCCCCCCCCCCCCCCCCCCAAAAAAAAAAAAAAGAAGAAGAAAAAGAAAAAGAAAGAAACCUACCCCAUAUUAGCACAUUUUUGUAAUUAAUGUUUUAUGAAUGUUGUUUAAAAGAUUUGUGUAGAAUAAAUCAGUUAAAAAAAACCAAAAGGGAUUUGUUGCUGUGUUUUGCCAGGUCUCUCCUCAUGGUUCUUAGCAGCUUUCCCAGAUGCUGCCAACUCUCCAGAGGGGCUGGAGAGGCAAGAAAAUUCUUUUUAUGAAGUGUUUGAUGCACCUUGAGGAAAGGCAGAGCUCCUGGAACCUGAUGGGAGAGAUGUUCCACGAGCUGGUGACAGCUGCAAGUGCUGAAAGUCCUUGUCCCACUUAUUUAGAAGUAAAAAUGAUUUGAAAAUCCACCCCUGAGAGCAGCUGGGUGCCAGAGGUGCUGAGGAUGAGCCUGGAGCCUCCUGGAUGUUCUCCAUUCCCCUGGGAGCAGUUUUGGGUCUGGAUUUCAGCACCCAGCAUCUCCAGGGGCUGCAGCACCUUCCCCCCAUGGGGCUCUCGCACAGCCACAGCACCAGGGAUGUUUUACAGCAGCAUUAAGAUUCUUUUUUUUCCAUU
rnacentral:lncRNA from 12 species